rnacentral:rRNA from 1 species
AUUGAACGCUGGCGGCAGGCUUAACACAUGCAAGUCGAGCGAGCGUCGGACGGGUGGAUGAUGUGGGGGAAACUGCCUAAUGGAGGGAGAUAAAUACUGGAAAGGGACACUAAUACCCCAUACCAUCAGAUCUGCCCAGAUGGGAUUAGCUAGUAGGUGGGGUAAUGGCUCACCUAGGCGACGAUCCCUAGCUGGUCUGAGAGGAUGACCGGCCACGCUGGAACUGAGACACGGUCCAGACUCCUACGGGAGGCAGCAGUGGGGAAGAUUGCGUAAUGGGCGCAAGCCUGAUGCAGCCAUGCCGCGGGUGUGAAGAAGGCCUUCGGGUUGUAAAGCACUUGCAGCGAGGAGGCGUUACUCGCAGAAGAAGCACCGGCUAACUCCGUGCCAGCAGCCGCGGUAAUAC